ensembl:lncRNA
CCCCCCCCCCCCCCCCCGCGAUGCCAAAGUCGAAUCUCAGAACGGGAUGGGAAAAACAAUGCGAAAAAAGGAGAGAAAAAAAAAAGAGAGAUUGGAAAGGAAGAGGGGAAGAAAAUGGGAAGAGAUGCCAAAAAAUAGGAGAAAAAGGGAGGAAAAAGGAGAAAAAGAGGAGGAAAAGAGGAGGAAAAAGGAGGAAAAAAGGAGAAAAAAAGGAGGAAAAAAGGAGGAGGAGAUAAAAUGGAGAAAAAAGGAGAAAAAAGGGAGGAAAAAGGGAGGAAAAAAGGAGAAAAUGAGGAGGAAAAAAAAGAGGAGAAGAGGAGAUAAAAUGGAGAAAAAGGGAGAAAAAAGGAGAAAAAAGGGAGGAAAAAAGGAGAAAAUGAGGAGGAAAAGAGGAGGAAAAAGGAGGAAAAAAGGAGAAAAAAGGGAGGAAAAAAGGGAGGAAAAAAGGAGGAGAAGAGGAGAUAAAAUGGAGAAAAAAGGAGAAAAAAGGGAGGAAAAAAGGAGGAGAAGAGGAGAUAAAAUGGAGAAAAAGGGAGAAAAAAGGAGAAAAAAGGGAGGAAAAAAGGAGAAAAUGAGGAGGAAAAGAGGAGGAAAAAGGAGGAAAAAAGGAGAAAAAAAGGAGGAAAAAAGGGAGGAAAAAAGGAGGAGAAGAGGAGAUAAAAUGGAGAAAAAAGGAGAAAAAAGGGAGGAAAAAAGGAGAAGAGGAGAUAAAAUGGAGAAAAAAGGAGAAAAAAGGAGGAAAAAGGGAGGAAAAAAGGAGAAAAUGAGGAGGAAAAAAAAGGAGGAGAAGAGGAGAAUAAAAAGGAGGAAAAGAGGAGAAAAAAGGGAGAAAAAAAGGAGAAAAAGGGAGGAAAAAGAGGAGGAAAUGAGAAGAAAAAAAAAGGAGGAGAAGAGGAGAAAAAAUGGAGAAAAAAGGAGAAAAAAAGGAGGAAAAAUGGAGAAAAUGAGGAGGAAAAAAGGAGGAGAAGAGGAGAAAAAAAGGAGGAAAAGAGAAAAAUGGAGAAAAAGGGAGAAAAAGGGAGGAAAAAAUGAGGAAAUGAGAAGAAAAAAAAGGAGGAGAAGAGGAGAUAAAAUGGAGAAAAAAGGACAAAAAAGGGAGGAAAAAAGGAGAAAAUGAGAAAAAAAAGGAGGAGAAGAGGAGAAUAAAAAGGAGGAAAAGAGGAGAAAAAAUGGAGGAAAAAAGAUAAUGAGAAAAAAAGGAGGAGAAGAGGAGAUAAAAUGGAGAAAAAAGGAGAAAAAAGGAGAAAAUAGUGAGGAAAAAGAGGAGAAAAAAAGGGAGGAAAAAGGAGAAAAUGAUGAGAAAAAAAGGAGGAGAAGAGGAGAAAAAAGGAGGAAAAGAGGUGAAAAAAUGGAAAAAAAAGGAGAAAAAGGGAGGAAAAAAGGAGAAAAUGAGGAGGAAAAAAAAGGAGGAGAAGAGGAGAAAAAAAGGAGGAAAAGAGGAGAAAAAAUGGAGAAAAAGAGGUGAAAAAGUGGAGGAAAAGAGGAAUAAAAGAGGAGAAAAGGAGGAGAAAAAAUGCGAAAAAAAGGAGAGAAAGGAGAAAAAAGGGGGAGAAUGAGGAAAAAAAAAGAGAGGAAAAAAGAUUUGAAAGGAAGAGGGGAAGAAAAUGGGAAGAGGUGCCAAAAAUAGGAGAAAAAGGGAGAAAAAAAGGAGAAAAAAGAGGAGGAAAAAAUGGAGAGAAAAGGAGAAAAAGGAGAAACAGAGGAGAAAAGGAGGAGAAAAAGGAGAAAAAAGGAGAAAUAAAGGAGAAAAAGGGAGAAAAGGGAGGAAAAAAGGAGAAAAAAGGAGAAGAAAAGGAGAAAAAAGGAGAAAAAAACGAGAAGAAAAGGAGAAAAAAAGGAGAAGAAAAAGAGAAAGAGAAAAGGAGGAAAAAAGGAGAAAAUGAGAAAAAAGGAAGAAGAGGAGAUAAAAUGGAGAAAAAAUGAGAAGAAAAGAAGAAAAAAGGAGAAAAAAGGAGAAAAAAGGGAGAAAAAAGGAGAAAAAAGGAGAAAAAAGGAGAAAAAAGGAGAAAAAAGGAGAAAAAGGAGAAAAAGGAGAAGAAAAGGAGAAGAAAAAGGAGAAGAAAAGGAGAAAAAAAAGGAGAAAAAAGGGAGAAAAAAGGAGAAAAAGGGAGAAGAAAAAGGAGAAGAAAAGGAGAAAAAAGGAGAAGAAAAGGAGAAGAAAAAGGAGAAAAAAGGAGAAGAAAAGGAAAAGAAAAGGAGAAGAAAAAAAGGAAAAAAGGAGAGAAAAGGAGAAAAAAGGAGAGAAAAGGAGAAAAAAAGGAGAAGAAAAGGAGAAGAAAAGGAGAAGAAAAGGGGAAGAAAAGAUUUAAAAAGGGAGAAAAAAAGCUUAAAAAUGAAGGAAAAAAAGAAGAAAAAAAAACCGAAAAAAAAAAGGAGAAAAUAAAACAGGGAAAAAAAAAACGAGAGAAAAACAAACAAACAAAAAAAGCCAAAAGAAAAGAAAAAAAAGCAAGAAAAAAAGCAAAAAGCACCGAGCGGAGGGGAGGGACCCCCAACCCCCCCCCCCCCCCACCCCCCUCCCCAAAAACCCCCCCAACGGGACUCAGCACAGAGCGAAGCAGACGACGACGUCGAGGAGAGGAGAGGAGGAGGAGGAGGAGGAAGAGCCGCUAUGGGGGCGGGGGGGCGCCGUUUCUCCUCCCGUCCUGCAGGUGGCGCUGUGGGAGCGCCCAACUUCUCCUCCAUGACCGCGUCGGACUGAAACCUCUCAGAGCAAUAAUACUAAUAAUACUAAGAAUGCUAAUAAUAAUAAUAAUAAUUAAUGAUAAUAAGGAUACUAAUCAUACUCAUACGGAUAAAUAAUCGUGGAGGGUGGCCGGCGUGAGCUCACGAGGACUCACGAGGACUCGCGGCCGCCCGGCCCCACUUCUCACUAGCGACGAAGAUCAGGGAUGCCGUCACAGUAGCGCUAGCAAACCCCCCCCCCCCCCCAAAACCCCCCCAUAGCCAACCUGCAACCGACCCCUCCCCCCCCCCGACCCCCCCCUUUGGUCGAAAUCCCCCCCCCCGGGCUUUGCACGCGCGUGUGAGGGGCCGUCGGGUGAGUGCACACGCGGGUGUGAGCGUGCGUGGGGCCGGCAGGCAGCAAUAGGCUCUCAGGGGCUCUGUGAGUGCUGCGGGUGCUGCAUGGCUGUUGCACACUCACAUACACACUGCAGGUGUGCACGCGUGUGUGACAGGCUGUAGUGAGUGCACACGUGUGUGCAAGUGUAUGUGCAACAGUGUGGUGCCAGCAGGCAGCAAUAGGCUCUCAGGGGCUCUGUGAGUGCUGUGGGUGCUGCAUGGCUGUUGCACACUCACAUACACACUGCAGGUGUGCACACGUGUGUGACAGGCUGUAGUGAGUGCACACGUGUGUGCAAGUGUCUGUGCAACCAUGUGGUGCCAGCAGGCGGCCGUCGGCUCACAAGGGCUCUGUGAGUGCUGCGUGGCUGUUGCACACGCACGUGUGAGCACACACACAUAUAUGCAUGCACACGUGUGUGACAGGCUGUAGUGAGUGCACACGUGUGUGCAAGUGUAUGUGCAACAGUGUGGUGCCAGCAGGCAGCAAUAGGCUCUCAUGGGCUCUGUGAGUGCUGCGGGUGCUGCAUGGCUGUUGCACACUCACAUACACACUGCAGGUGUGCACACGUGUGUGAUAGGCCAUAGUGUGCAAGUAUCUGUGCAACCAUGUGGUGCCAGCAGGCAGCAAUAGGCUCUCAAGGGCUCUGUGAGUGCUGCGUGGCUGUUGCACAUGCACGUGUGAGCACACACAUGUACGUGCAUGCACACGUCUGUGACAGGCCAUAGUGAGUGCACACGUGUGUGCAAGUGUAUGUGCAACAGCGUGGUGCCAGCAGGCAGCAAUAGGCUCUCAGGGGCUCUGUGAGUGCUGCGGGUGCUGCAUGGCUGUUGCACACUCACAUACACACUGCAGGUGUGCACACGUGUGUGAUAGGCCAUAGUGAGUGCACACGCGUGUGCAUCUGUGCAGCUGUGUGGUGCCAGCAGGCAGCAAUUGGCUCACAGGGGCUCUGAGAGUGCAUGGCCGUUGCACACUAACAUAUACACAGCAUGCAUGCACGCAUGUGUGAUAGGCCAUAGUGAGUGCACACGCGUGUGCAAGUGUAUGUGCAACUGUGUGGUGCCAGCAGGCGGCCGUCAGCUCACAAGGGCUCUAUGAGUGCUGCAGAUGCUGAUUGCUGUUGCACACGCACGUGUGAGCACACACACAGAUACAUGCAUGCACAUGUGUGUGACAGGCCGUAGUUCAUGCACACGCGUGUGCAAGCAUCUGUGCAACUGUGUGGUGCCAGCAGGAAGCAAUUGGCUCACAGGGGCUCUAUGAGUGCUGGUGGUGCUGCUCUGCUGUUGCACACGCACGUGAGCACACGCACAUAUAGCCCUGCAGCAUGUAUGCACAGGCGUGUGCAAGCACAGGUAUGCGCAUGUCACGGCCGCUGUUGCACACAUACGUGUGAGCACACACAUGUACAGGCAUGCAACGUGCAGGCACACGUGUGUGUUGUGCACUUACACGUGCACACUCACACACAGAGGGCACGCAUGCUUACACACGCACGUGCAAGCAGGCAGCAGUAGGGCCUGCAUGCUCUGCAAUGGCUGCUGGUGUUGCACACGCGUGUACAUGGAGGCACACACAUGUGCACGCUCGCUUAUAGCUAUGCAUGUUGCACACGCGUGUGCAAGCACGGGUAUGUAUGUGGUGCCAGCAGGCAGCAGCCGGCUCACACGCGCUGUGAGUGCUGCACAGCUGUUGCACACGCGUGUACGUGUGGGCACACGCACAUGCACACCCAUCCACACAUUCAAGCAUACGCGUGUGUCACGAAUUUACAUGCACACACACUCACACGUGCACACACAUUCACACACUCCUCGUGCAAGCAGACAGGAAGGAGCUGCUCUGCUUUGUGAGCGCUGUCGGUGUUGCACACGCGUGUGCAUGUAUGCACACGCACACACACACACACACCUGACACGCACGUGGAUCCAAGCGAGGCGCCCUAAGUGCGGCGGGUGCUGCACACGCGUGUGAACAUUUGCACACGCAGACACACCCACACACAAGCAGGCUUGUGUGCUCUGCACGUGCUGCUGGUUUUGCACACCCAUGCCAAUGUUUGCACGCGCAGCCGGUGUGCACUCACGUACACACUCACAUCAAGCAGACGUGGGCAGGCAGGCAUGCACACAAGUGCUGCUGGUGUUGCACACCUCUUGCACACACAUACCCAUGCAGGCACACACGCAUACAAACAUGCUACACGCAGCCUUGCACACUCAUUGUGCCAUCACACACGUGUGUGCUCUGCAAGUGCUGCUGCUGUUGCACACCUCUUGCACACACAUACCCAUGCAGGCACACGCAUGCAACACACAGCCUUGCACACUCAUUGUGGGAGCCCACAGACACACGUGUGAGCUCUGCAAGUGCUGCUGCUGUUGCACACUUAUUGCACACACGUACAUGUAUGCACACACACACCUCGCAGCCUUGCACACUCGUUGUGGCAGCACACAGACACACGUGUGUGCUCUGCAAGUGCUGCUGCUGUUGCACACCUCUUGCACACACAUACCCAUGCAGGCACAUGCACACGCAUGCAACACACAGCCUUGCACACUCAUCGUGGCAGCACACAGACACACAAGUGUGCUCCACCAGUGCUGCUGGUGUUGCACACCUCUUGCACACACAUACCCAUGCAGGCACACACGCAUACAAACAUGCAACACAGCCUUGCACACUCAUUGUGGCAGCACACAGACACACGUGUGCGCUCUGCAAGUGCUGCUGCUGUUGCACACCUCUUGCACACGCAUAUCCAUGCAGGCACAUGCACAUACAUACAUGCAGUACGUGGCCUUGCACACUCAUUGUGGCAGCACACAGACACAUGUGUGAGUUCUGCAAGUGCUGCUGGUGUUGCACACCUCUUGCACACACAUACCCAUGCAGGCACACGCAUGCAACACACAGCCUUACACACUCAUUGUGGGAGCCCACAGACACACGUGUGCGCUCUGCAAGUGCUGCUGCUGUUGCACACCUCUUGCACACACAUACCCUUCCAGGCACACGCACACGUAUGCAACACGCAGCCUUGCACACUCACUGUGGCAGCACACGGACACACAUGUGCGCUCUGCAAGUGCUGCUGGUGUUGCACACCUCUUGCACACACACGUACAUGUAUGCACACACACACCUCGCAGCCUUGCACACUCGUUGUGCCAUAACACAGAAACACAUGUGUGCUCUGCAAGUGCUGCUGCUGUUGCACACCUCUUGCACACGCAUAUCCGUGCAGGCACAUGCAUGCAACACGCAGGCUUGCACACUCGUUGUGGCAGCACACAGACACACAUGUGUGCUCCGCAAGUGCUGCUGGUGUUGCACACUUAUUGCACAUACACGUACAUAUAUGCACACACAAACACUCAUCGUGCAAGCAGACGUUGCACAUCUUGCACACUCAUGCAGCGUGCAGGCUCACGCAUGUGUUGUGUACACAGCCCUGAGCACGCUUGCACACUUUGCUGGUGUUGCACACCCAUUGUAUGCACAAACAUGUUUGCACACGCAUGUUAGGUGCCACCUCCCAUGCUCUGCAAGUGCUGCGGCUGUUGCACACGCACACGCAAGUGUGCACAAGCGAUGUGUUGAGCACUGCUCGCGUGUGCAAGGCACGUGGCAUGAGUGUGCAUGAGGAGCACACGUGCAUGAGCGUCGCCAUGCGCACAGACUGCCUUGCACACGCGUGUGAGUAGGAUCACAUUGCACACGCAUCCUGUCAGCACACUGUGCAAAGCACACUGCCCCGGUGCACAAACAUUCACACCUUGCACACCCACACCCCUGUGCACACGCGUGAGAGCCCUGCACACGCACCACAUAAUGCACACCUGCACCACUUGCUCGGGUGUGCAAACCUUGUGGGUGCAACGUGCGUGCACAUCCCGUGCUCACACGCUACACACUGUGUGCACACUCAUUACACACCCAGUGCUCACCCAUUGCACACUCACUGCACUGCACAUCCAUCACAAUCCCUUUGCACACCCAUUGCACACCGACUGCACACACUGCACUCCCAGUGCACACCCAUUGCACACUCACUGCUCAGCACAUCCUUUAGACUCCCUGUGCACACCCGUUGCACACUCACUGCACAUCCAUUACAAUCCCUUUGCACAACCACUGCACACUGACUGCACAUCCAUUACAAUCCCUUUGCACACCCAUUGCACACCGACUGCAUGCACUGAAUCCCCUCUGCACACUCAUUGCACACUCACUGCACUGCACAUCCAUUACAAUCCCUCUGCACACCCAUUGCACACUCACUGCACUGCAUCUCCAUCACACCCCCUGUGCACACUCAUUGCACACUUGCUGCACUCCCAUUAGAUCCCGUGUGCACACCCACUGCUCACCAACUGCACUCCCUGUGCACACUCAUUGCACACUCACUGCACACCCAUUGCACCCCCUGUGCACACCCAUCGGACACUGCAUGUCAACUGCACUCCCUGUGCACACUCAUUGCACACUCACUGCACACCUAUUAGACCCCCUGUGCAUGCCCGUUGCAUGCCAACUGUACUCCCUGUGCACACUCAUGGCACGCAGUGCACACUCACUGCACACCCAUUCUGUACACUGCAUUCCCUGUGCACACCCACUGCACACUCACUGCACACUGCAUUCCCUGUGCACACCCAUUCUGCACACACUGUGCACACCCAUUGCACACUCACUGCACGCACUGCACUCCCCGUGCACGCCCACUGCACACUCAUUACACGUCCACUGUGCACUCCUUGCACACACUGCACCCCCUUUGCACACUCACUGCCCACCCACAGCGUGCACUGCACUCCUGUUGCACACCCACUGCACACACUGCACGCUCUGUGCACACACACUGCGCUGCACACUCACUGCAUGUCUACUGCAUGCUCUUUGCACGCACUGCACCCCCUUUGCACACUCACCGCACACCCACUGCAACCUGUGUGCACACUCACUGCACACCCAGCACUCUUUUUGCACACACACUGCACGCCCUGUGCACACACUCAUUGCACACCCACAGCGCACACACCCACCGCUCACCCCACGCAUGCAGUGAACUCCUCUUGCACACUCACUGCACAUGUUGCACUCCCCUGCACACACAGCUCCCCCUGUGCAAGCCCAGUGCACACCCACCGCAGACCCUUUGCACGCACCACACUCCUCUUGCACACCCACUGCUCCCUCUGCACACCCCCUGCUCCACACACACACCACCGUGCCCUGUGCAUGCCCACAGCACUCCCCGUGCACACCCAUUGCACACCCGUUGCACACACACCACGCACUGUAAACCCACUGCACUUGUUGCUCACGUUACCAACGCGCUGCACACGUUGCACACCCACUGCACACAUGACACACCCGUUGCACACACACUGCACACACAUUGCACACCCAUUGCACACAGACUGCACACUGUGCACGCUCCUUGCACGCACAUUGCACACCCUCUGCACACACCACACACGUGAUUGCAGGCAUUGCACACGUUGCACACACAAACGUGUGACACUGCAUACGUGCAGCACCCCACAAACACACUGCACACCCAUUGCACGCACACUAUAAGCACACUCAGCACACACAACAUGCAACAAACGUGACACACGUGUGACACACGCGUGACACUCAUAACAAUCACCAGACACACUCAGUGCCCUGCACACGCACUGCACAACCAUUGCACACACACUAUAGGCACAAUCAGCACACACAACACACGUGACACACGCGUGACACACUCAUAACAAGCACCAGACACACUCAGCACCCCACACAUGCACUGCACGCCCAUUGCACACACACUCAGAACACACAACACGUGUGACACACACAUAACACACUCAUAGCAACACCAGACACACUCACUGCCCUGCAGGUGCCUUGCACGCCCAUUGCACACACACUAAAAGCAUACUCAACGCACACAACACAUGUGACACACACAUGUGACACACACGUGACACAAACACGUGACACACAUGUGACUCACACUCUGUACACACACAACACACUCGCACACAGUGCCCCCCACACCCCCUGCACUCCCCUUGCACACCCACUGCACACAAACGCGUGGCACACACGACACACACACGCACUACACCACACACACACUCACAACACGCACACCGCACGCCCAUUGCACGCCUAUUGCACACCCAUUGCAUGCCCAUUGCACACGUGACACAUGUGGCACACACUACACACCACUCACACAUGAGACACACACUCACAACCAGCACUGCAUGCACUCAGUGCCUGCAGGCCCAUUGCACACCCAUUCCACAUCCAUUGCACACCCGCUGCACAUGUGACACGUGUGCCACACAGCACGCACACAACACACGCACAAAACACACACACACAACCAGCACUGCGUGCACUCAGUGCCUGCACACCCAUUACACGCCCAUUGCACGCCCAUCACACAGCCAAUGCACACCACUUGCACACCCAUUGCACACGUACUGCACACGUGUCACGUGUGAGACACACCACACACACGACACACACACGAACACUGCAUGCACUCGGUGCCUGCACACCCAUUGCACACCCAUUGCACAGCCAUUGCACGCCCCUUGCACACCCACUGCACACGUGACACGUGUGACACACACUACACACCUCUCACACAUGAGACACACACUCACAACCAGCACUGCAUGCACUCAGUGCCUGCAGGCCCAUUGCACACCCAUUGCACACUCAUCACACAGCCACUGCACACCCCUGCACAACCACUGCACACGUGACACAUGUGACACACACCACACACAUGACACACACACACACACUGCAUGCACUCAGUGCCUGCACACCCAUUGCACGCCCAUUGCACGCCCAUCACACAGGCAUUGCACGCCCCUUGCACACCCACUGCACACGUGACACGUGUGACACACACUACACACCUCUCACACAUGAGACACACACUCACAACCAGCACUGCAUGCACUCAGUGCCUGCAGGCCCAUUGCACACCCAUUGCACACUCAUCACACAGCCACUGCACACCCCUGCACAACCACUGCACACGUGACACAUGUGACACACACCACACACAUGACACACACACACACACUGCAUGCACUCAGUGCCUGCACACCCAUUGCACGCCCAUUGCACGCCCAUUGCACACCCAUUGCACGCCCCUUGCACACCCACUGCACACGUGACACGUGACACAAACCACACACACAACACACGCGCAAGACGCACACACAACAUGCACUGCAUGCACACUCAUUGCACACACAUUGCACGCCCAUCACACAGCCAUUGCACGCCCCUUGCACACCCACUGCACACGUGACACGUGUGACACACCACACACAUGACACACACACAACACACUGCAUGCACACCCAUUGCACGCCCACUGCACACACACCACACCCACAUGACACACCCACAUAGCACUCACCGUGUGCACUCGGUGCCCUGCAUGCCUCUUGCACGCCCGCCACACACCCACAGCCCAAAUCGCAUGGCCGUUGCACACCCACAGCACACACGACACGUGUGAGACACACCGCACGCUCCAUACACACGCACGCAACACACAGCGCACACACUCAGCACGCCGCAUGCCCGUUGCACACCCGUUGCACGCCCACUGCACGCACGCAAUACACAACUCAGACAACACACAGCACACGCACGCACAAAGCACACUCACAACACUCACUGCGCACACUCAGCACUCCUCACAUCUGUUGCACACUCAUUGCACUCCCAUUGCACACCCACCACACACACAACACGCGUGACACACACAUGACACACACAACACGCAUGCACAAUGCUCAGUACAUGCACACAGUGUCCUGCACACUCAUUGCACGCCCAUUACACACACUGCUCACAUAUGGCCCGUGUGACACACGCAGCACACUCACACACGCAUGCACAACGCUCAGUACACACAGUGCCCUGCACAAAAUUGCACACUCAUUGAACGCCCAUUGCACACCCACUGCUCACACAUGGCCCGCGUGACACAUACACGCACUUGAUGCACACUCACAACGUGCAUUGCACGCACUCAGUGCCCUGCACCCAAAUUGCACACUCAUUGCACACCCAUUGCAUGCCCAUUGCACACCCACCACACACACGACACGCGUGACACAUGCGUGACACACACAACACGCAUGUAGAACACUCAGUACAUGCACUCAGUGCCCUGCACACUCACUGCACACUCAUUGCACGCCCAUUGCACACCCACUGCACACACACAACACGCGUGACACACGUGACACACACAACACGCAUGCACAACGCUCAGUACAUGCACACAGCGUCCUGCACACUCGUUGCACACUCAUUGCACGCCCAUUGCACACCCAGCGCACACACACAACAUGCGUGACACACGUGACACACACAACACGCAUGUAGAACACUCAGUACACGCACUCAGUGCCCUGCACACAAACUGCACAUUCAUUGCACACUCAUUGCACGCCCAUUGCACACCCACUGCUCACACAUGGCCCGUGUGACACAUACACACUGCACACACUUCAUGCACACUCCCAACAUGCAUUGCAUGUGCUCAGUGCCACGCACACCCAUUGUACACCCAUUGCACGCCCAUUGCACACCCACCACACACACACGCACCACACACACUCCCACCACACACCGCACACACUCGGUGCCUUGCACACCCACUGCACGCCCAUUGCACACCCACCACACACACUCCCACCACGCACCGCACACACUCAGUGCCUUGCACACCCAUUGCACGACCUUUGCACGUCUAUUGCACACCCACCACACACGUGACGUGUGACUAACGUGACACGUGACACACACACACACACACACACACACACACUCACACCAUGCACCACACGCGCUCGGCGCCCUGCAUGCCCUUUACACACCCAUCGCACACCCAGCACACACACUCCCACACACUCGGCCCCCCGCACGCCCAUUGCACGUCUAUGACACGGACAUUGCACACCCACAAUGCACAUGGCACGUGUGACACACGUGACACAUGUCCCCCCACACUCCCACCACACACUGCAUGCACUCAGUGCCUUGCACACCCAUUGCACAUCCAUUGCACGUCCAUUGCGCACCCACUGCUCACACAUGGCACGUGUGACACACACACACACCACACACACUGCACGCACACUCCCAACAUGCAUUGCACACUCUCAACGUGACGCAUGCCCGUUGCACACCCAUUGCACACCCACAGCACACACUUAUAACACGCACACUCCCACACACUUGGCAACCCUCACAUCCAUUGCACGUCUAUUACACACCCAUUGCACGCUCACAGCACACACACAACACACACACUCCCACACACUCGGCGGCCCGCACACCCUUUGCACAUCUAUUACACACCCAUUGCACACCCACUAUGCACAUGGCACGUAUGACACACGUGACACACAUCCCCCCACACUUCCACCACACACUGCAUGCACUCGGUGCCUUGCACACCCAUUGCACACCCAUUGCACAUCCAUUGCACGUCCAUUGCACACCCACUGCUCACACAUGGCUUGUGUGACACACACACACCACACACACUGCACGCGCACUCCCAACAUGCAUUGCACACACUCAGCGUGACGCAUGCCCGUUGCACACCCAUUGCACACCCUUUACACACUCAGGACACACAUGACACACGUGACACACACACAGAACAGACACACACUCCAAACACACCGAUUGCACACCCAUUGCACAGCAGCUGCACACGCAUUGCACACUCUUUACACACCCAUUGCACCCUCACAACACACAACACACAUGACUCACACACAACACACGCACAUACACUCCCAACACACCCUACGUGCCCAUUGCACACCCUUUACACACCCAUUGCACACUCAGGACACACACAACACACGACACACACACACACUCCUAACACGCCCAUUGCACAUCCAUUACACACCCACCACAUGCGUGUGACACCCCCUCACUCUCCCACCACGCCUUUGCACGCCCAUUGCACACCCACGACGCACGUGACACAUGUGACACAUAAACACACCACACUCCCACCACACACUGCACACACUCAGUUCCUUGCACACCCAUUGCACACCCAGAGCUCACCCAUUGCACGUCCAUUACACACCCAUUGCACACGCAUGACACACGUGACACAUGUGACACACACAAACACACUCCCAACACGCACUGCAUGCUAAUUGCACACCCUUUGCACACCAACUACACAUCCAACACCCGUGACACACACAUACACACUCCCACCACACACUGCACACACUCAGCUCCCUGCACACCCAUUGCACAGCCAGAGCUCACCCAUUGCACCUCCAUUGCACACCCAUUGCACCCCUGCUACACACGUGACACACACGCACUCCCACCACGCACUGCACACACUCAGCUCCCUGCACGCACAUUGCACGCCCAUUGCACACUCAUGACACACGUGACACACGUGAUACACACACACUCACACACUCCCACCACACUCUGCACACACACAGCGCCCCACACUCCCACUUCACACCCAUUGCACACCCAUGACACACGUGACACAUGUGACACACACACUCACACCCUCCCAGCACGCACUGCACACACUCAGCUCCCUGCACACCCAUUGCACACCCAUGACACACGUGACACACAUACACACACUCCCAGCACACACUGCACACACUCAGCUCCCUGCACACCCAUUGCACACCCACAAGGCACGUGACACCCGUGACACACAUGACACACACACUCCCACCACGCACUGCACACACUCAGCGCCCCACACUCCCACUGCACACCCAUUGCACACCCAUGACACACGUAACACACAUGACACACACAAACACACUCCGAACACGCACUGCACGCCCAUUGCACACCCUUUGCACACCCACUGCACACCAACUACACACCCAACACCCAUUGCACACCCACGACGCACAUGACACACAUGACACACACACACUCACACACUCCACCACACUGUGCACACACUCAGCACCCCACACACCCACUGCACAUCCAUUGCACACCCAUGACACACGUGACACACUUGACACAUAAACACACCACACUCCCACCACGCACUGCACACACUCAGCUCCCUGCACACACAUUGCACACCCAUGACACACGUGACACACGUGACACACACACACUCACACACUCCCACCACGCACUGCACACACUCAGCACCCAUUGCACACCCACAGCACACCCACAGCACACCCACAACGCGCGCCACCCACGUGACACUCACACCCCCCCCUCCCCCACACUCCCACCACGCCCCGCGCUCACUCGGCGCCCCACACGCCCAUUGCACACCCAUGACACACGUGACACCCGUGACACACACACUCACACACUCCCAGCACGCACUGCACACACUCAGUGCCCCACAUGCCCAUUGUACACCCAUUUCACGCCCAUUGCACACCCAUGACACACGUGACACAUAUGACACACACACUCACACACUCCCACCACACGCUGCACACACUCAGCUCCCUGCACACCCAUUGCACACCCACAACGCACGUGACACCCAUGAUACACACACACUCACACACUCCCACCACACUCUGCACACACUCAGCACCCCACACACCCACUGCACACCCAUUGCACACCCACAGCACACCCACAACGCGCGCCACCCACGUGACACUCACAGCCCCCCCUCCCCCACACUCCCACCAUGCCCUGUACUCACUCGGCGCCCCACACGCCCAUUGCACACCCAUUGCACACCCACGACGCACGUGACACAUGUGACACACAC